UGGGGAAUUUUGGACAAUGGGCGAAAGCCUGAUCCAGCAAUGCCGCGUGUGUGAAGAAGGCCUUCGGGUUGUAAAGCACUUUUGUCCGGAAAGAAAUCCUUGGCUCUAAUACAGUCGGGGGAUGACGGUACCGGAAGAAUAAGCACCGGCUAACUACGUGCCAGCAGCCGCGGUAAUACGUAGGGUGCAAGCGUUAAUCGGAAUUACUGGGCGUAAAGCGUGCGCAGGCGGUUUGCUAAGACCGAUGUGAAAUCCCCGGGCUCAACCUGGGAACUGCAUUGGUGACUGGCAGGCUAGAGUAUGGCAGAGGGGGGUAGAAUUCCACGUGUAGCAGUGAAAUGCGUAGAGAUGUGGAGGAAUACCGAUGGCGAAGGCAGCCCCCUGGGCCAAUACUGACGCUCAUGCACGAAAGCGUGGGGAGCAAACAGGAUUAGAUACCCUGGUAGUCCACGCCCUAAACGAUGUCAACUAGUUGUUGGGGAUUCAUUUCCUUAGUAACGUAGCUAACGCGUGAAGUUGACCGCCUGGGGAGUACGGUCGCAAGAUUAAACUCAAUGAAUUGACGGGGUCAUAGCUGUUU
rnacentral:rRNA from 1 species